rnacentral:lncRNA from 1 species
CUUGGAAAGGCUCCAUAACUAUUCAGCGCCAUGCAGCAUGUUAAUGAACCAGGAUUCAAAUUUUCUAAUUCCAAAAGGCAGGGUACCACUUGUCUUUAAGUAGUUCAAAAUCUCUGGAUCAAGGGAAAGUGCACCUGAGGAGUCACACUUGAGGAAGCUUCUCUGCUCCUGAACCUCAUGCAGAUCAUGAGAGAAUGGACUUCAAGCCUGAUGCCAGAACGAGAAAUAACUUUCUUGUUAUACCACUGGUGCCUCUUAGAUGCUACAAUUAGAUAACAUUAACACAGUCUGGAAAGGCAACCGUUAGAACUCUAAGAUCGCAAGUGACAGCUCAUGUGUGGGGGUGGACGAGUACGGAGAUGUUAUGCAGGCAGAUGUCAAUGAGAGCACCCAGCACACCCCUGCUCUCAAACCUUUGCACUUGCUCUUUCCACUGCAUGGGCCACUCUCCAAGGGAUCCACGGAGCUUGCCCUUUCCUCUCCUCUAAGUCUCUGUUCUAUGUUGCCUUGUCUGCAAUACCUGGCUGCCCCAGCUGGGUCACGGGCAAUCUAUUCGUCUUCCUGAUUUGCUUCCUCCACGGGACCUACCUGCCUCUGACACGCGAUCUGUUCUAAUGCUUCAUUUAUUUGUUGUCUGCCUCCCUGCACUAGGGUGUAAGCUCCGUGAGGACAGGGACUUUCAUCUGUCUUGUUAAUGAUGGAUCCCUGCUGCCCAGAGCCGUCCUGGCACACGGCAGGCACUCUAUAAACGUGUGUUGAAGGAACGAAUAAACAAUACGGUUUUCCCAGCUUACUGUGGAAGUUUGGCUUAGAGAUACCUGGAUUAUACAAGGCUCUGUCUGAAGAUCCGUACAUUCCUUGGCUCUCUGGGAAUUCUGUUUUCUGUUCUUCUGGUCAAACCAACCUUCCUUCACCCUCCUGAAGGAAACUGCUGGCCCUCUUUGCACCCUAAGAAAUGGACUGUUCAGUCCCAGUGUUCCCAAUAUCCUGAGCCCUGGACCCCAGAAUUGCAAGGCACUCAUUCUUCCCUGUCUUUCUCCCCCUUUCUGUAUGCUCUCCAUGGAGUCCCAUCUGGCCUUGGCCUCUGCCUCAGCUCUUGUCAGACCAGAGCUCCUGAAUGCACAUGGAAAGACACAUGCAAAGGGGUGAUGAAUAGGGAAAAGGGGAAGCUUCCUCAGAGAUUCCAAAUAAUGAAGGUGGAGAAAUGAGCAUUCUGAGUGCUUGCCUUUCUUAGGGCAGUUAGAGCUCUUUGGAAAAAGAAGUGUGGACUCUUGGACAGACCCUACCAUAAGUGCUUGCUUCUGCCCCAGUACCUUUGCUUACCCUGUGUAUGCACACACGCACACACACUCACAUCCCUAUCUGAAAUGCCAGCCUCUAAUCCCAGCUUAACCCCAUAUUUCAUAACCCAUCUCUUCCUUCCUGCUUAUUCUUACCACAUCAUCUAACUUUGCUUUUUCUUCUUUGAAACGCUACAGAAUUAAUAGUCUAUAGCAAUCUAUGGCAGUCAAGGUCCCAGCAGGAAGCAGAUGUCACACUCAGCUGGGAUGUUUGAAGAGAUGUUUUAUAGAAGGUCUAUUUACAGAGGUAUGAACAAGAGUUAAAGGAACUGUGUUAUUCUGGGUCCCCUGAGAAGAAGACGCCAAGACAAGAUUAGACUUGCAAGGAUUUUUUAGGGAAAUCUAUGAGAAAAAUGGGGAGGGUCCCAGAUAAAGCUGGAAGAACAAUCAGCCCAUGACGCAAGUUUGACCCUAAAGGAAGGCAGAGGAACAGGAGGUUGGGAGGAAGUGUUCUAAAGGAUGACGUGGUCUAAGGAAAGUUCAGGAGUCCUCAGGCCAACGUCCGUCAACAGAGGGUCCUGUGUCUCCCGAAUGGACCUUCCCCCUUGUGUCUGCCACUCUCACUCGUUAGCUGGGAGCAGCCCGUGGGAAGCGGGGCCUCAGUGCAAACGUGGUGAUGGAGUUUACAGGACGGCAACCGGCACCCUCGGCAGCUUGUGCUCCGUGUUGUUGGAGGUCUGCAAGGUACCUCCUCGUGGCCGCUCAAGCCCACCCGUCGCACCAAGUGAAGCCACUUCUUCACACAGACUUGGGCAGCAGCUCUUCCGUGAUUCCAGUGGGCCUUUCUUCCCGAAGGGGAAUCAGAAGAUGGAGGAUAAAUUACUGCCCCGUCUUUGCAAUUGACCAUGGGGCUACAGCAAAUGCCACCCUCUCCCUUCUACACCAUCCCUUUUACAUUUCCUCCACUCAGCUGUGACUCACCAAGGCUUUGGCAGGUUUCGGUGGCUUCCCUGGUAGUGUGACUCAAGCUUUCACUUCUGAGGGAUAUGAAGCCGUGAUAAUCACUCAUCUCAGGCCAGGGGGACUGCAUGUGUCCAUUCAUACUUACAGUGAGGCACUGGAGCGCCAGGGGAGGCCACGGUGGGUCACCUGGCCUGUUAGUCUGCUCAGGCUGCUCUCAACAAAAUACCACAAACUGGGGGGCCCGAACAACACAAAUUUAUUUUCUCACAGUUCUGGAGAUUGAAAGUCCAAGAUCGAGGUUCCAGCAGGGUUGGUGUCUGCUAGAGCUCUCCCCUAGGGUUCUACACAGCCACCUUCUCGCUGUGUGAGCACAUGGCCUUGCCUUGGUGCUUGCACAUGAAGAGAAAAAGAGCUCUCCAGUGUCUCUUCUUAUAAGGACACCAAUCCUAUCAGAUCAGGACCCCAUCCUUAUGACCUCGUUACUUAAUCACCUUAAUUACUUCUCCAGAGGCCCCAGCAGAGGCUGAGAUUUUGCAGGCAGGAAGGGCAACCUCAUCCCCAGCAAAUGUAUCUAUCCUUGUGAAGAGGAACGAGAGACCCUUUCAGGAUGGAAGGUGGCCAAUGUAGUCAAUUUGCCACUAAGCGGCCAACUGGGUUCCUUGAAGAAUAGUGCCUGGAUGACUUGGUUUCUGUUGCUAACAGUUUGGACAUUCAGAAGCAGCAGUAGCUGGAUCUGCCUUGCUGGUCAUAUGGGAUUCUCCUAUACGGCCGCAGGCACAAGUUAGAGGAGGGCCUUGGUCCAGCUGUGGUGGAUGACAAGGAGGUCUGAGCUGCCUAUUUUUGCAGGUAAGUCAUGCCCUCUGGUCCUACUCAGGCUCCACCCCAGGUAUGCUAUUUCCACACCACAGUGGAUGCCUGCGGACCUAUCUGACUUUAUGACUUGGCAGGUCUGACAGAACCCAGUUCAUAAUAGUCAGUUCCGGAUCCUGGCCAAGUGCUCUGUCUCUACCAGGAUCCAGUAACGUGCCAAGAGCUAUUUCUCAGAGUGCGUAAUUCUCCGCUGCUGAUGGCGCGACUUUGCUCCAGAAUCCCAGGAGCAUGCAUUGUGAUUCUCCUGUUGGAGUUUGCCACGAGCCAAGGUCACCCCCACCCACCCUUCCCUCCUCCAACUGAUUACUCUCUGGCCCUUUCAUCUAACUUUUUUGAUCUCA